rnacentral:tRNA from 1 species
CCAGGGCCUGGCCCAUGAGGUGGAAGACCUGGGUGUUGUCCAGAAGCCCCAGGUUCUGGAAGCCUAGGCCCUGGCC